rnacentral:lncRNA from 10 species
UGGCUAGUGUUUCUGACACAUUAGUCCUGACUAAUGACAACAGGAAGAUAAUUAACUCUGAUUUUGAUAUAUUACAUUUGAAAAGACUUCUCUAGAUGGCAAGGAGCUCAAGAGAAAAAUCAUGGCUAGAAAUAUAGAUGUAAAAGCCACCUUUAGAUAAGUGGUUGUUAAAGCUAUAGAAGUGGCUUCUAUAAAGCUAUAGAAGUUCACCCAGGAUAAGUGUGGAAAGUGUUGAGAGGCCAAGGAUGGAACCUUGAAGAAUGCUAAUAUCCAAGAAUAUGCAGAAGAGGAGGAAGCAGCUGUUUCUAACUCGUACCAUUUCUGAUGUUAGCCAGCCCUUCCAAUCUUACAGCCCUCAGUGGGAAAAAGGUAGUCUAUUAGAAUUCAUUAUCGUGUCCCUAGCUUUGGGACAAUCCUGCCUCGAGCACUAGCUGGCUGUGACCUCUCUGUACUUCAGUUUCCUUAUCAGUAAAAGUACCUGUCUCUCAGAGCUGUUGUGAUGGUGAAGUGAGUUAACCUAUGUAGAGGGCACAGGACGCAGCCUGGGCUAUAAUAAGUACUGUAUAUCUAACUGUAUAGUCUGGCACUGAGUAGGCUUAAUAAAUGUCUGCGAAGGAAUAGCAGCAUUCCAUCAUUCACCUGUAAUAAUCUCUUUGUGGUAUCAUCACUACUAGAUCAAAAAGGUAGGGAUAAAUUUCUGGAGGAAAAAACGUUGUAGAUAGUUGGAAUGAUUGACCAAGGAGGGAGUGAAAUAUUUUGGGGGAGGUUCUUAUGAACAUAUUGACUCUCCUCAGUCAGGAUUCCCAUGUAUAGUCCUGCAUAUUAGAAUACAGGAAGGAUACCCGUAUAAUAUUUAGGAUAUACUUAUAUUAAGAAAUUAUUUGUGAUUUUUCUGAAAUUCAAACUUAACUGGGUAUAUUCUAGCCACUCUAUCUCCAUUUUACAGAUGAGGACAAUCAGAGUUCAAGCAAGGGACAGAAAUCACCGCAGAAAUUUGGACAGGGAAAAUUUAAUAUAAAGAAUUGUUGACUAUGUAAAGUUCUGUUAACUACUGAAAGGGGAAAAAGAACUCUAAGAAGCAGCAAGGCAGUUAACUGCAGAAAGUGGCUUCUACACCUAAGACUAAGGGAAAAAUGAACAAGGAAGGAACUUACAAACUAUUGGAAAAGGUCCCUGCAAGGCUGGAUUCAGACCUCUGAGGAGAGUUCCUGGUUGUUACAGGAACAUGCUGCCUGUAGUCCUGGUGCCAAGGAAACUUGCUGAAGGGUACCCGCUGUUAAACUGCAUAGGGCAGCCUGCCACUGCUGUAAACCCUGACCGGGAUAACCGCGUGCCGAUCUGCCUGCCACUAUAUGGGAAAACAGAAAACUAGAUGAAGAAGAAAAAGGCCUCUGUCUUCCAGCCAUGCAUUGUUCCUUCCACACUCCUUAUUGUCAAAGCCUAACAUGGAGCCAGCUGGCAAAGGAAAAGUGUGGCCUGUAGAGUUCAGCCCCAGUAUUACAAAGCAGGAUGAAGAAACUGGGAUUGGAGCUGAAAGACAAUAAAUUAAUAACUGAUACAGAUGGAAAGUACAUUUUUCAACCCAAGGAUAGAAAGAAGCCCCAAACAUCAUCACACAAAAGGAAGACAGAUUGGCUGAGAGAGGCAUUUACAUUAAAAAAAUAAAAUACUGAAGGUUUACAGGGACACAUCUCUUGGAGUAGAGCAGCCUACCUCCAAGGUAUUGGAUAAGCAAGACAAGGUGUUAUAAAGCCUAUUGUGUAAAUAUAUACAGAAGACUGAGAGGUUUUCAACCGAAUAAAUGAAUGCCUGGUACAGCGUUAAUAUAGCUGAGAAAUUCAUCCUGUAACAAGUUGA